CCUACGGGAGGCAGCAGUGAGGAAUAUUGGUCAAUGGGCGGGAGCCUGAACCAGCCAAGCCGCGUGAGGGAAGAAGGUACAGCGUAUCGUAAACCUCUUUUGUCAGGGAACAAAGGCGGGGACUAGUCCCCGGAUGAGGGUACCUGAAGAAAAAGCAUCGGCUAACUCCGUGCCAGCAGCCGCGGUAAUACGGCGGAUGCGAGCGUUAUCCGGAUUUAUUGGGUUAAAAGGGUGCGCAGGCGGCCUGUUAAGUCCACGGGAAACGCCCGGGGCGAAACCCAGGAGAGCGGUUGAAACUGGUGGGCUGGAGUUGGAGAGAAGUACGCGGAAUGCGCGGUGUAGCGGUGAAAUGCUUAGAUAUCGAGAAGAACCCCGAUUGCGAAGGCAGCGUACCGGCUCCACACUGACGCUGAGGCACGAAAGCGUGGGUAUCGAACAGGAUUAGAUACCCAUGUAGUC
rnacentral:rRNA from 1 species